rnacentral:rRNA from 1 species
UUAGGGGGGGGACGGAGAAGGCUAGAUCGACCGAAUGUUGGUUAUCGGCUUAAGUAUUCGAGGUGAUGAGGUCCGGUGAAAACGGUCUGAGCUAAGAUGCGAAUAGGAAAGUGUUAAGACACUGAACCGAUUAAUGUCAUACUUCCAAGAAAAGCCCUAACUACCAUAAGCAAUAAAUACCUGUACCCGAAACCGACA